UACGUAGGGAGCAAGCGUUGUCCGGAAUCAUUGGGCGUAAAGCGCGCGUAGGCGGCCCCGUAAGUCCGCUGUGAAAGUCAAAGGCUCAACCUUUGAAAGCCGGUGGAUACUGUGGGGCUAGAGUACGGAAGAGGCGAGUGGAAUUCCUGGUGGUAGCGGUGGAAUGCGCAGAUAUCAGGAGGAACACCAAUAGCGAAGGCAGCUCGCUGGGACGUUACUGACGCUGAGGCGCGAAAGCGUGGGAGCGAACAGG
rnacentral:rRNA from 1 species